UACGAAGGGGGCUAGCGUUGUUCGGAUUUACUGGGCGUAAAGCGCACGUAGGCGGAUCGUUAAGUCAGGGGUGAAAUCCCAGAGCUCAACUCUGGAACUGCCUUUGAUACUGGGUGUCUUGAGUAUGGAAGAGGUGAGUGGAAUUCUGAGUGUAGAGGUGAAAUUCGUAGAUAUUCGGAGGAACACCAGUGGCGAAGGCGGCUCACUGGUCCAUUACUGACGCUGAGGUGCGGAAAGCGUGGGGAGCAAACAGGG
rnacentral:rRNA from 1 species